AGAGUUUGAUCCUGGCUCAGGAUGAACGCUAGCGACAGGCUUAACACAUGCAAGUCGAGGGGCAGCAUGAUUUGUAGCAAUACAGAUUGAUGGCGACCGGCGCACGGGUGAGUAACGCGUAUGCAACUUACCUAUCAGAGGGGGAUAGCCCGGCGAAAGUCGGAUUAAUACCCCAUAAAACAGGGGUCCCGCAUGGGAAUAUUUGUUAAAGAUUCAUCGCUGAUAGAUAGGCAUGCGUUCCAUUAGGCAGUUGGCGGGGUAACGGCCCACCAAACCGACGAUGGAUAGGGGUUCUGAGAGGAAGGUCCCCCACAUUGGUACUGAGACACGGACCAAACUCCUACGGGAGGCAGCAGUGAGGAAUAUUGGUCAAUGGACGGAAGUCUGAACCAGCCAAGUAGCGUGCAGGAAGACGGCCCUAUGGGUUGUAAACUGCUUUUAUAAGGGAAUAAAGUGAGUCUCGUGAGACUUUUUGCAUGUACCUUAUGAAUAAGGACCGGCUAAUUCCGUGCCAGCAGCCGCGGUAAUACGGAAGGUCCGGGCGUUAUCCGGAUUUAUUGGGUUUAAAGGGAGCGUAGGCCGGAGAUUAAGCGUGUUGUGAAAUGUAGACGCUCAACGUCUGCACUGCAGCGCGAACUGGUUUCCUUGAGUACGCACAAAGUGGGCGGAAUUCGUGGUGUAGCGGUGAAAUGCUUAGAUAUCACGAAGAACUCCGAUUGCGAAGGCAGCUCACUGGAGCGCAACUGACGCUGAAGCUCGAAAGUGCGGGUAUCGAACAGGAUUAGAUACCCUGGUAGUCCGCACGGUAAACGAUGGAUGCCCGCUGUUGGUCUGAAUAGGUCAGCGGCCAAGCGAAAGCAUUAAGCAUCCCACCUGGGGAGUACGCCGGCAACGGUGAAACUCAAAGGAAUUGACGGGGGCCCG
rnacentral:rRNA from 1 species